rnacentral:rRNA from 1 species
AUGCAAGUCGAGCGAACAGAUAAGGAGCUUGCUCCUUUGACGUUAGCGGCGGACGGGUGAGUAACACGUGGGUAACCUACCUAUAAGACUGGGAUAACUUCGGGAAACCGGAGCUAAUACCGGAUAACAUUUGGAACCGCAUGGUUCUAAAGUGAAAGAUGGUUUUGCUAUCACUUAUAGAUGGACCCGCGCCGUAUUAGCUAGUUGGUAAGGUAACGGCUUACCAAGGCRACGAUACGUAGCCGACCUGAGAGGGUGAUCGGCCACACUGGAACUGAGACACGGUCCAGACUCCUACGGGAGGCAGCAGUAGGGAAUCUUCCGCAAUGGGCGAAAGCCUGACGGAGCAACGCCGCGUGAGUGAUGAAGGGUUUCGGCUCGUAAAACUCUGUUAUUAGGGAAGAACAAACGUGUAAGUAACUGUGCACGUCUUGACGGUACCUAAUCAGAAAGCCACGGCUAACUACGUGCCAGCAGCCGCGGUAAUACGUAGGUGGCAAGCGUUAUCCGGAAUUAUUGGGCGUAAAGCGCGCGUAGGCGGUUUCUUAAGUCUGAUGUGAAAGCCCACGGCUCAACCGUGGAGGGUCAUUGGAAACUGGGAAACUUGAGUGCAGAAGAGGAAAGUGGAAUUCCAUGUGUAGCGGUGAAAUGCGCAGAGAUAUGGAGGAACACCAGUGGCGAAGGCGACUUUCUGGUCUGUAACUGACGCUGAUGUGCGAAAGCGUGGGGAUCAAACAGGAUUAGAUACCCUGGUAGUCCACGCCGUAAACGAUGAGUGCUAAGUGUUAGGGGGUUUCCGCCCCUUAGUGCUGCAGCUAACGCAUUAAGCACUCCGCCUGGGGAGUACGACCGCAAGGUUGAAACUCAAAGGAAUUGACGGGGACCCGCACAAGCGGUGGAGCAUGUGGUUUAAUUCGAAGCAACGCGAAGAACCUUACCAAAUCUUGACAUCCUUUGAAAACUCUAGAGAUAGAGCCUUCCCCUUCGGGGGACAAAGUGACAGGUGGUGCAUGGUUGUCGUCAGCUCGUGUCGUGAGAUGUUGGGUUAAGUCCCGCAACGAGCGCAACCCUUAAGCUUAGUUGCCAUCAUUAAGUUGGGCACUCUAGGUUGACUGCCGGUGACAAACCGGAGGAAGGUGGGGAUGACGUCAAAUCAUCAUGCCCCUUAUGAUUUGGGCUACACACGUGCUACAAUGGACAAUACAAAGGGCAGCUAAACCGCGAGGUCAUGCAAAUCCCAUAAAGUUGUUCUCAGUUCGGAUUGUAGUCUGCAACUCGACUACAUGAAGCUGGAAUCGCUAGUAAUCGUAGAUCAGCAUGCUACGGUGAAUACGUUCCCGGGUCUUGUACACACCGCCCGUCACACCACGAGAGUUUGUAACACCCGAAGCCGGUGGAGUAACCAUUUAUGGAGCUAGCCGUCGAA